AUACGCGCGCGCGGCGGGGGCCGUUAAUUUGCAACUCGCCGCCACAUCCACACUUUUAUCUCGUCAGCGGCUGCUGAAGCCCGCAAAAAGCAGAAUGAAAAGAAAUGAUGCUCUAACAGGUGUCAGUGAAAGGAGCUGCGUGGAUCCUUCUGCUGCACCUUUACUACACAACGUGCUCCUGAAAAUCAAGAAAGGACACGUAACUCCACUGACACAUCAGGGUAUCCAUUAGAUGUAGCGACGCACAGAGAGAGAGAGAGGGA